ensembl:snoRNA
GGCGAGGCUAGACUCUCACCCGGGCAUGGCGUUGCCCUAGCAUGCUGGAGUCCUCGGAGGGCAGCUGCUGGCCUCAUUCGCUGGCUGUGGCCCCAUGGCCGAGCCAGUCACCAGGCCAGAGACAAGU